CCCCCACAGGCCAGGAGGGGAACAGGUUGGUUUGACUCAGAGCCACAGCAGCUGGUGGAGUUCUGGUUCCAGUAGAACCGGGUCGACCGGACUGAAGGAGGGAAAGAGCCAAAGCCAGUACACAUAAAUCUGUCGCACAAGCUACAUGCGCUAACAGCAGCGAUGGACGACGAAGCCACUUCAAGAUGAUGCAACAGAGAGAAAACAUGGCCGCCUGUUGAUCAGCUCUGAAGAUGCUGACCGGUUCCUGGAUCCGGUUCAGAAACACGUUUGGUUUGAUUUUCCCAAACAAACGAGGACGAGGCGGACAGACGGACGGACGGACGGACAGACGGACAGACAGACGGACAGACGGACUCGACCUUCAGAUGAAAAGCUGAGUUUUGGUUUCUGCCUCCGUUUCUCAUCACUUCUCUCAUGUCGCUCACCGAGGAAUGAAUCGGCUGCGUUUUUAGUCACUGUGAGGAUGAGACACCACUGUGACUCUGUGUGUGUGUGUGUGUGUGUGUGUGUGGAGGUUCUGACUUGAUCUUUGCAAAUCCUCUGAAUGCAUUCAUGCACACACUCUCAACAUGUUCCAGCGUCUGCCUCAGAGUGUCAGGAGGAGGGGGGGGGGUGACUACACCCAUCUGUUACCCCCCCUGCCCCCCC